AGAGUUUGAUCCUGGCUCAGGACGAACGCUGGCGGCGUGCCUAAUACAUGCAAGUCGAACGAACUCUGGUAUUGAUUGGUGCUUGCAUCAUGAUUUACAUUUGAGUGAGUGGCGAACUGGUGAGUAACACGUGGGAAACCUGCCCAGAAGCGGGGGAUAACACCUGGAAACAGAUGCUAAUACCGCAUAACAACUUGGACCGCAUGGUCUGAGCUUGAAAGAUGGCUUCGGCUAUCACUUUUGGAUGGUCCCGCGGCGUAUUAGCUAGAUGGUGGGGUAACGGCUCACCAUGGCAAUGAUACGUAGCCGACCUGAGAGGGUAAUCGGCCACAUUGGGACUGAGACACGGCCCAAACUCCUACGGGAGGCAGCAGUAGGGAAUCUUCCACAAUGGACGAAAGUCUGAUGGAGCAACGCCGCGUGAGUGAAGAAGGGUUUCGGCUCGUAAAACUCUGUUGUUAAAGAAGAACAUAUCUGAGAGUAACUGUUCAGGUAUUGACGGUAUUUAACCAGAAAGCCACGGCUAACUACGUGCCAGCAGCCGCGGUAAUACGUAGGUGGCAAGCGUUGUCCGGAUUUAUUGGGCGUAAAGCGAGCGCAGGCGGUUUUUUAAGUCUGAUGUGAAAGCCUUCGG
rnacentral:rRNA from 1 species